AAUAUAUUCAGCGGUGUGCCGCUGUAUCGGGCGACGAAACCGUCGAGGGUUCGGAUGCAUAGAGAACUCGACGAUAGUCAACGUCGGUCUGCGGUUACAGUGAGUAGAAGUGACAGCCAGUACCUGCAUAAUGACUCGACUGCAGCCGUGCAAUGCGGCGCGCAAGCUCGCUACGCGAUGCACACUGCCAAUCGGAACGUUGUUUCGUCGCGUUAGAUACACCGACACGGCCAGCUAGAUUCUCCACUACCAUUGCCUCUGCCACCUACACCGUCGCCACGGCCAUCGUACGAUCGCCACCGCCGUCGCCACCACCGAUCUCUAUCCUCGCAACGAUGUUAGGCAGCGCAACCACCACACGAUCGUGCUUUCUCACUCGCAUACAGGCGCCCCGAUGUCCACCGACACGUUUGAAUCUCACACGAUACCCGGCCACGGAAAACGAAGAAAGAAAAAGACUGGCAAGGAUCCAAAUGGACGUACACGAAAUCUGUCGACCGUCGAACACGAUUUUAAGACGGUUUCGCGUGCGACCGAUCUCUCUCUCUCUCUCUCUCUCUCUCUCUCUCUCACUCUCGCUCUCAAACAUACACACGCUUUAUUUUAACACAGACGAUCGAUAGGGGCGAAAUCGCCUUGAAGCCGUGCUCUCGCGGUUCGAACGCGUAUUGUAUAUUAUAGACGGUCGAGAUAUCCCCCAAAUGGGAUGUAUCGUGUUUUUACUUAACUGGCAAGAGAUCAGAGUUGGGCAAUAUUUUAUUCGGCGAACGUUGUCCUCGAGAGCGUACGCGAAUUCCUAGAUGAUCCAUCACGCGCCAAGAAUACGUUUUUACGUCGCGGAUAUUCGCAACACUUUGCUAAGUGAGCAGCCACGCUUACCGGUGAAUCAACUUCGAUUUAUACACACAGUCGUGUUCGGUUUCGUUCGAACUUUAAAUGAAAAAUUCGUUGGAAAAUAACGCCCAAUUCUGUGAAUUUUCUCAAGCUUAUCAGACGGAGAGAAUUGCCCUGAAUAGGCAACACGACCAACAAAUUCUCCUCCCAUCUGUUUUCUUCUGUAAUUUGGACACAGAUUUGGGUAAAUUGCGAAGAUCGUUACACGACGUUCUUGCGUGAUCUUUAACAUUCUCGCUCUUUAACUUGUCGCGCCUUCUCAAGCAUACACACGCUUUUCUCGACAGACUCUCGUACUUUCUCUUGGAAUCGUCUUUCCCCGAUCUCAGCCAUUUCUGGAGCAGAGGCGUCAAGAGAUACUCCGAUUUUACAAUUUACAAUUAAUUCGUUAUGCCUAGGGUAACAAUAUAUUGGUCUACGGCGAUCCUUCAUUCUUUCCACUAGUUUCUAUUUCCUAUUGGCCUGUUUGUUUCUACUUAAAUCGUUAGCAUUGACAAAAGAGAGGAAUCGAAUCCAUGUUUCAUCGGUUUACUCGAUAAAAGGACGUAUCGUAACGCUUAAAUUACUCGUUUCCUUCGUGUACAAUAGUUCGUUAGGUAGUUUAAAUAUCUCGUUAGUAACUGGAACCUGAGAGUUUCGCCCAUAGCUAAACCGCCAGAGUAACAUAUUAUUUAUACAUAUUGCUGCAAAUAUUAGAAAAAGAGUGUCCACGAACGUCCAGAGAAACU
rnacentral:misc_RNA from 1 species